rnacentral:lncRNA from 1 species
AACAUCACCUCAUUCUUAAACAACCAACAACCUCUUUUGUCAAUUUCAAUCCUCAAUCAUUCCAACCAAGCAUUAAAUUUCAAUCAACCUUAUUCUUCCAACAAAGUAAUAUCACAAAACAAAACCACUUGCAUCUUGUUGGAAAGGGACAAAGCAAGGCUAAAAGAAGGCUAAUGGCUAAAAUUUUCGAGGCUUCAAUCAUAUAUAACAAUAAAAAGGGUAAAAGGCUUCAAAAUGGCUCACUAAUGGAUAUGCAAAAGGUAGGACGUUUUUAAGGCCAAUGAGGUUUAUUCCUAAUGCCUAAAUCAUCUUCACAAAUGAGUCCAAU